GAGUACUGCACUGGCAACUGUUCUCGCUGACAAAGAUUGCUGUUCCACUUUGGAAUAGCACUAGUCAUUGUUUCUUGGGAAACGCAUAAACAGAACUAUUUGCUUUCAUAUGAGAAGUUACUACAGGCUUUUUACAUCAUCUCAUCAAGAGACAGAUCGCUCCAGCUCCUGAUGAUUUUCUACCUUGGAUGCACUUUCUCCGGCUGUUGAAUGCACCUGACUUGUCCUUGACAAUCUUUCACCCAGUCGUAAACUCUACUGGGUGCAGCUUCUGUGAGGUCAAGAACUACGUCUGCAUCUUUCAACUGCAACACACUCAUAAUCCCAGUUCAAAUUGUGUCGGCAGAGAAUCCUCUCCACGCCUUAGAACGUCAUCUCUUGGAAUGAAGGCAGUGGCAACAUGGCAGCCAGGACACACAGGAGAGUGGAAUUUAGGAGAAUUGACUUCAGAAGUAUUUACCAAUGGCAUGGUGAAAGAUCCAACUUCCUAGAUUUUGUUUCCAAGAGCUUCAACCUUUUUGAUGUGCUGAACGUCAUCUAUAACAGGAAGCACACAGACAUGGACACAAAUUCCUUGAGACAUCCUGACAAGGCUCAGCUAGCAAAGGUGAAAGUGAAGUCGAUGUGAGAAUCCCCUUCCCAGCUUUCAGUGAGCACCGACCUUUCAGUGGGGCAGAAAUGAAAUCUCCCACCGGCACAUACUGUUGGCUUUAGGUCUCUACUAGAAUUGUUACAGGCUUGGGAACAUAACAUUUAUUUUAAUCUAAUAGAAACUUCCAUAAAGAUCACAGAUGAGUUUCCUUUUGUGCAUAAGUGCUCUCUCUGCAGAUUAAAACAUGAUAACUGCAUUGAAAGAUUGUCUCUAUACCUAUAGGUUCACAAUACAGUAGACCUUGCCUGUAUGUUUCCGUGUAUGCAUAAAGUAAUCUGUAUCUUGAAAUAGAAUCAGAUUAUCCGGG
rnacentral:lncRNA from 1 species